GACAAUUUGGAGAGGCAGGCACUACAGAAAGUCAGAAGAUUGGAAUUUCAGACAAGUAAACCCGCCCCAGCCCUCCACAGCUAAAAUUCAAACACCAACUAAUGGCUGCCAGCAUGAGGCUAGCAGAGGGGAAAAAACACACAAAAUAAUGUCAGAAGGGAAUCUGACUUAAAAUGGAUCAUCUUUUCUAUACUAGUGCGAAACGACAUUUCUAAUCUUCAGACAAUAAUCUGGAAGACCAAGUGGAAACUGGCUCCAGAGCCUGAAGGCGCUGACUCCUAAGGCAAUGCUCAGGCACACCUGAAGCCCUGGAGCUGCCUGCCUGCCUCUCCCAGUCCUCCCCAGGGAGCAUCCACCCAGCGGCUCCCGCAGCCAGCACCACAGUGCUGAUACAUGUCUUGUCUUGGAGAUGAGAUAAAUAAGCCCACUUUCCUCAGGAGGAGACUGAGGCCCAGAAGAAAGUUUCCUGUGAGAGCAUCACUGUCCUUGUGCCUAGAAGCGCUUGGCAAUGCCCACAGUGCUUAUUGGCAGGCGCCAUGCCCAGGAUAGGGCACUGGGCCCAGCCAUGACUGUUGGAAAUGGUGGGGAAGAAAUGCUCAGCCCCGCACUGCAUCUGCCCACAUGUGCAGGCAGGAAAAUUCCUGGGAAGACAGCAGGUCUGGCCUGAAGGUAGAUGGGAAGGAGACAACGGCAUCUUCUGAAAGGGAAGAGAAAUCUUUCCAUAUGUCCAUAACCCUGCAUUUAGCUUGCCUAAGGCUCUGGGUUCAAUCUUCAGCAUCACAUUCAAAAGCAGGGAUUAUUUGUUGAGAGAAGGGGUUUCACUGUGUUAUCCAGGCUGGUCUCAAACUCCUGGACUGAAGGGAUCCUCCUGCCUCAACCAUCCAAAGGCUGGGACUGUAGGCAUGUGACACCACACCAAACUAUAACUGCCCUGAACAUACUACAUGAAAGGCACUGUUAAGUAUGCUAGGGACACAGAAAGAGAAAAAACAAACAAACAAAAACACGGCCCCUAGUACCAGCAAGCUUACAUUCUAGUGACGGAGAAAGACAAAGAACAAGGGAAUAAAUAAGCUAAUUCCAGACUGUAGUACUGUGAAAGAAAACACACAGGGCUGCCUUAACGCAGUAGGUAUUUGAUUUAAAGCAGACAAGGAAAUAUGAGGCCUGGAUAGGGAGCCAGCCAUAGUCCAGGCAGAGAGUAGCAUGCGUAGAAGCCCUGAUAUGUGUCGAGGCCUAAAGUAGCUUGGGAAGAGAGAAUGCUGAGAAGACAGACUUGUGAACAUUUAGAAGGAAGAACCAAAGACAGACCAAGUGUGGGGAUUGAACUUUAGUUCCUUGCUAGAUAAAUAUGCCACUUCCAGAGUAAGGGAACUCCAGAGAAAGCAGGUUUGGGAGACAUGCAUUUUCUCUCUGUGGAUUCUUUCCCUCCUGUACAACAGAUUGAUCAGACUAUAUGACAACCAAGGUUUAGUGCUUAUUCUUUAUUUUUUUUUUAGAAG
rnacentral:lncRNA from 1 species